AUUGAACGCUGGCGGUAGGCUUAACACAUGCAAGUCGAGCGGGGUGAUGGUGCUUGCACUAUCACUUAGCGGCGGACGGGUGAGUAAUGCUUAGGAAUCUGCCUAUUAGUGGGGGACAACAUCUCGAAAGGGAUGCUAAUACCGCAUACGUUCUACGGGAGAAAGCAGGGGAUCACUUGUGACCUUGCGCUAAUAGAUGAGCAUAAGUCGGGUUAGCUAGUUGGUGGGGUAAAGGCCUACAAAGGCGACGAUCUGUAGCGGGUCUGAGAGGAUGAUCCGCCACACUGGGACUGAGACACGGCCCAGACUCCUACGGGAGGCAGCAGUGGGGAAUAUUGGACAAUGGGGGGAACCCUGAUCCAACCAUGCCGCGUGUGUGAAGAAGGCCUUAUGGUUGUAAAGCACUUUAAGCGAGGAGGAGGCUCUUUUGGUUAAUACCCAAGAUGAGUGGACGUUACUCGCAGAAUAAGCACCGGCUAACUCUGUGCCAGCCGCCGCCGUAA
rnacentral:rRNA from 1 species